UACGUAGGGUGCGAGCGUUAAUCGGAAUUACUGGGCGUAAAGUGUGCGCAGGCGGCCAUGCAAGUCGAGUGUGAAAGCCCCGGGCUUAACUUGGGAAUUGCGCUCGAAACUACGUGGCUGGAGUGUGGCAGAGGAAGGUGGAAUUCCACGUGUAGCGGUGAAAUGCGUAGAUAUCGGGAGGAACACCAGUGGCGAAAGCGGCCUCCUGGACCACAUCUGACGCUCAGACGCGAAAGCUAGGGGAGCAAACGGG
rnacentral:rRNA from 1 species